GGCAUUAAAGCUUCGGUCUCAAGGUAUGCGGACUCCCGGGAGAAUGACUGAGGUCGGUGCAAGUUGGCCGUGACUGCCGAUCAUACAUACCGUCAGCUGCGUCCCAUCCGGUCUCAUUGCCAGGUGCUGAAAUUACACCAGAGGACCACCAUGUCUGACUGUAGAGUUAAACACUUCCCAUAAAAAUAAUCCAGUUUGAAUUAGAGAUUUAGCUCAAUUAUAGAGCAUAUUCCUUACGUGUAGGAGACUCUGUAUUUGAUAUCCAUCUCAUUCUGUUUCAAGAGCAAGAUCACAAGCCUGUAUUCUUCGUGGUUGUGAACGAAUUAUUUAGCCAAAUCGAGCCUCAAUUUUCCCAUCUGGAAAGUGGAACUGAUUGUUCGUAUCUACUGGGCUGUUCAUGAGCUAGGUGGUGUGGCCAUAGGAAGGAGAACAUGGCGGAAGAAGAGGACUAUAUGUCAGAUUCCUUCAUUAACGUUCAAGAAGACGUCAGACCCGGCGUGCCCAUGCUGAGGCAGAUCCGAGAAGCCCGGCGAAAAGAAGAAAAGCAACAGCAAGCGAAUCUGAAAAAUAGGCAGAAGAGCCUGAAGGAGGAAGAACGGGAAAGGCGUGACAUUGGGCUGAAGAAUGCGCUGGGCUGCGAAAACAAAGGGUUCGCUUUGCUCCAAAAGAUGGGGUACAAGAGUGGGCAGGCUCUGGGCAAGACUG
rnacentral:lncRNA from 1 species